AUAUGUAGGACUCGGAGGUGCGAUGGGGACGCUGAAGUGCGAUGGUCACGCUGAAGUGCGAUGGUCCACGCCGAAGUACGAUGGUCCUUUCGCUGAAGUGCGAUGGUUUUGAGUAUGACGUUUGAAUAAUAUGACGUUUUCAAAAUACAACAUGGAUUCGCAGGCAGAAGAAUAGCGUUUUGUAGAUGAAGGUUUCAUGCUAACAAAGAAAAGUAAGGAAAUAAGAAAGAAACAAACAAUUAAAGUCCCGAACAGUUUUAAGCAUUGCAUGUUGAGGUUAAAAAAAUAUGUUAAAACAUGUUAGGCAGCAAAGCCGCUGAAAGAUGAACUUCGUCACCAAAUGGGCUAACCAAAAUUUUGAAUUAUCCC
rnacentral:lncRNA from 1 species